ACUUCCUUCCCUCUUUUACAAUAAUAACAACACACCACAUUAUAUUCAUCUACCUCAUUCUUCCUUUUAAGUUUCCUUCUUACUUACUUAAGUUUAAAGCUAUUUCCUUUUUUUAGGUCUUAUUCAGAUGGGUUUUGUGAAUUUCAAGUGUUUGUUUCUGGGUUUUCUUCUAACCUUUGUUCCUUUUAGAAAUGGAGUUAUUGUAGUGGAAGGUAGCAGUAGGCCCUUUUCAAUUUCCCCAAUACUCAAGCUUCAAAAAGGUUUUAAGGGAUAUUAUGAUUCACAAAUUUUUGCAACAAUGGGAAUUGAAUGCAAGUGUUGUGAUGAGAUUGGAGGAAAGAAAAAGAGAGAGAAGAAAAAAAGAAAGUAGUGGUUUGGGAAUUUGGAUGCAUUGGAAAUGGUCAAAGAGAGAAGAUUAAAGAAAGGGUGAAGGUUGAAAAUGAAAUGUGGCGUUUUCCAUUAGAACUCUUCAAUCCUUUAACUUGUAGUCUCUGCAACUUCAACUUUUUUGCUGUUCUCUCACAUGAGAGAGAGAGAGAGAGAAACAAAUGAUAUUAUUGUUUCAUUGAUAUGAGAGACAUUGGAGAAGACGAUGAACAAAAAAAUACUUCAACUUUUUUGUG